GCGGCGGCGGCGGCGGCGCGGGGCCGGUGCCUCGGCGGCGAGGCGCAAGGUUUCCUCUCCUCGCGGUAGCUAAAGGGCGUCCGAAACGCGCGUUGUUGGACUGCGCCUGCCAGGGAACAUCUUCAGACAUGGGAGCCACAAUGUUGAGGAUUACAAGGAAUUUUUUGGUGAAUGCAUUGAAGUCAUCAAGUCUGUGCAGUGAGUGGAUGCAUUCCUGGAAGAAAAGGAUGAGAAUCCCAAGAAGUCUGACACAACAGGGCUGUAGUCAGAGAAACUACAGUUCCCUACCAGGCGAUGUUAAGUCUCUACGUUCUGUCAUUAGCCCUCAUAUAUCCAGAAUCCGUAACAUUGGCAUCAUGGCCCACAUUGAUGCAGGGAAAACUACAACAACAGAGAGAAUGCUGUAUUAUUCUGGAUAUAUAAGAACACUUGGAGAUGUUGAUGAUGGGGAUACAGUGACAGACUUCAUGGUACAGGAGCGAGAACGGGGUAUUACCAUUCAGUCCGCUGCUGUUACUUUUGACUGGAAAGACUAUAGAAUCAAUCUGAUUGACACCCCAGGUCAUGUGGACUUUACAGUGGAAGUUGAGCGUUGCUUGAGAGUCCUGGAUGGAGCAGUAGCUGUAUUUGAUGCAUCAGCUGGUGUUGAGGCCCAAACUCUGACAGUGUGGAGACAAGCAGACAAGCAUCAGAUACCGCGAAUUUGCUUUUUAAACAAGAUGGACAAAAACGGAGCAAGUUUUACAUACGCUGUUGAGAGCAUCAAACAGAAGUUGAAGACAAAACCUUUGCUUUUACAAUUGCCCAUAGGGGAAGCCAAGGCCUUCAGAGGACUGGUUGAUGUUGUGACUAAGGAACAAAUUAUUUGGAAAUCUAUUUCUGGUUUGGAUGAUGGAAAAAAUUUUGAGCAAAAGCCACUGCUGGAGGCUGAUGAUCCUAACUUGUUCCAAGAACUCCAGGAUGCCAGAAAUACCUUAAUAGAACAAGUUGCAGAUCUGGAUGAUGAAUUUGCUGAACUGGUUCUAGGAGAGUAUAGUGAAAAUUUUGACUUACUACCAGCUGAUAAGUUACAGUCUGCUAUACGUAGAGUCACGCUAUCUCAGAAAGCAGUGCCUGUUCUCUGUGGCAGCGCGUUGAAGAAUAAAGGAGUGCAGCCGUUGCUGGAUGCUGUUACUGCGUACUUGCCUGCACCUAAUGAGCGUUCAUAUGAGUUUCUAAAGUGGUACAAUGAUGACCUGUGUGCCUUAGCAUUUAAAGUUCUCCAUGAUAAAUGUCGUGGACCACUAGUUUUCAUUCGCAUUUAUUCAGGUUCAGUGAAACCUCAAUCAGCUGUAUAUAAUAUUAACCGAAGUUGCACGGAGAGAAUGAGCCGGCUGCUCCUGCCUUUUGCUGAUCAGCAAAUUGAAAUACCAUCGCUAAUGGCUGGCAACAUUGCCCUUACUGUUGGGUUAAAACAGAGUGCCACUGGAGAUACCAUAGUGUCAUCGAAGGCCUCAGCUGCAGCAGCAGCGCGCCGAGCUGGAAGGGACGCUGGUGGAGAGCAGAGGCAUACCAGUGAAGCAGAGAGCCUUCUGCUGGCUGGUGUUGAAGUCCCCGAGCCGGUAUUCUUUUGUACAAUCGAACCACCUUCAAUGGCCAAACAACAAGACUUGGAUAACGCACUGAACUGCCUUCAACGUGAAGAUCCAAGUUUAAAAGUGAAGCUAGAUCCUGACACAGGACAAACUAUUCUGUGCGGCAUGGGAGAACUGCAUAUAGAGAUUAUUCAUGACCGAAUCAAACGUGAAUAUGGAAUUGAGACUUACUUGGGACCUCUUCAAAUAGCAUACAGAGAAACUAUCCUAAAUGCUGCCCAAGCUACAGAUACAUUGGACAAAACAGUAGGAGAUAAACGGCAGUUUGUAACUGCAGAGCUAGAGGUGAGGCCGAGGUCGGGGGAGAGAGCAACACCACCACCAGUCAUAGAGUAUGCUGAAAAUGUCAUUGAGCUGCUUCCCAAAGAACUUCAAGGAGCAAUAGAAAAUGGAAUCACUAAUUCAUGCAUUCAGGGACCUUUGCUAGGAUUCCCAGUUCAGGAUAUAGAAGUGACAGUGCAAUCACUGACAGUGCAUCCUGACACCUCCCAUACGAUGAUAUCAGCCUGUGUCUCCCGUUGCAUGCAAAAGGCUUUGAAAAAAGCCACCAUACAAAUACUGGAGCCCCUGAUGAACUUAGAAAUCACAGUGAGUGAAGAUCAUCUCAGUGCAGCGCUCGCUGACCUUGCACAGCGCAGAGGCAGUAUUCAGGAGAUCCAGAGUCGUCAAGAUAACAGAGUUAUAGUUGCUACUAUUCCUCUAGCAGAAACAAUGGGUUACUCAACAGUUCUGCGUUCUCUAACAUCUGGCUCCGCAACCUUCACUUUGGAACUAGCCAGUUAUCAAGCCCUGAACAGUCACGAGCAAAGCACACUUCUUCAGAGGAAGAAGGAGCUGAAGACUGGUUAGAUGCACCACUAUGUUCUUCUGUGACUCCCUAAUUAUGGUAAGUGAGAGAUUCUCAGCUGCACGAGCAGACUGUGUUUUUGACUUUCCAAGACAAAAGAGAAGAUGAGUGAACUGGGUCAGACACUGCCAUCUAAUGCAAAGCAAUUGAACCAGAGAUGCAACCACAAUUUGCUGCCUUCACAGUUCAGAUCUUACAGGGGCCUAGCAGCAAGGACCUGAAAGAAAUCAGUAACUUCCAAUGAACAGGUUGGAAUCUCCACUCUCUACUUUGUUACUGAAUUGUUCUUAGCAACCUAAGCUACAUAAGAGAGGAACACCAAAGCCUGGUAUAGAAAUGACUGGAGUUUUCCUGUGAUUAUAGGAACUUAGUCUAGGACUUGUAGGGGCUCCCCAGUAUUGCGCAGUGACAGUUAUUUGUCUCAGAAUGUGCUUCCAAGAAAUGCAUGAGCUGGACUAGCUAACAGAAAAUGCUGAAAAUUCAAGGUGCCAUAAAUCCCAGUCUCCUUCACAGAUUUACUAAUGACUGAAUCUGCCCACUCAGGAUCUUCAUUCCUCUCCAGUGCAGGCUGACCUCCAUUCAGCAAAAUUUACUCUGUCCUUUUAGAGGUCAGCCAGAGGAAGCAAGUUUUCCUUUCAUAUCAGCAUCUAUUAUUGAGACUUCAGUUUGGAAAAAUUCAACAGCUAAAAGUCUUCACUAUUAGCAAUACAAAAUCAUCCACUUACCAGGUUUGUAAGAAUAGAUUUCACAGGUAAAUAAUGCCUUGACGUAUCAAGCAAAAUUCCUCUAUGAGCAAAUCUUGGGAAGUCGUGGAUCUCGGAUGCAUUGACAAGAAACUAUGGGAGUGAGACUGAAAAUUAGAAUUCCCAUUGUACGUUCAUCAUUAUGAACGGGAAAUACAUUUACAUUUCACUGUGUUAACAGUAUUCUAAAAACAUUUUCUGGAAGAGCAGUCAAUGAAUCUAGCAGAAAAUCUACUGCUUCUAGAAGAACACCUAAUAAAGAAUGUGGCUGAUUGCGA